rnacentral:rRNA from 1 species
AGCUCCAAUAGCGUAUAUUAAAGUUGUUGCAGUUAAAAAGCUCGUAGUUGGAUUUCGGAGUGGGCCAGUUGGUCCGCCGCAAGGUGUGUUACUGACUGGUUUGCUCUUCUUCGCAAAGACUGCGUGUGCUCUUCGUUGAGUGUGCGUAGGAUUUACGACGUUUACUUUGAAAAAAUUAGAGUGUUCAAAGCAGGCUAUUGCUUGAAUACAUGAGCAUGGAAUAAUGGAAUAGGACUUUGGUCCCAUUUUGUUGGUUUCUAGGACCGAAGUAAUGAUUAAGAGGGACAAUUGGGGGCAUCCGUAUUUCGUUGUCAGAGGUGAAAUUCUUGGAUUUACGAAAGACGAACAACUGCGAAAGCACUUGCCAAGAGUGUUU